rnacentral:rRNA from 1 species
UACGUAGGGGACAAGCGUUGUCCGGAAUUAUUGGGCGUAAAGCGUGUGUAGGCGGCUUGGUAAGUCUGGUGUGAAACCUUGGGGCUCAACCCCAAGCCUGCACUGGAAACUGCCUCGCUUGAGUCCGGGAGAGGAGAGCGGAAUUCCUAGUGUAGCGGUGAAAUGCGCAGAGAUUAGGAAGAACACCGGUGGCGAAGGCGGCUCUCUGGAACGGUACUGACGCUGAGACGCGAAAGCGUGGGGAGCGAACAGG